GAUGAACGCUGGCGGCGUGCCUAAUACAUGCAAGUCGAGCGAACAGACGAGGAGCUUGCUCCUCUGACGUUAGCGGCGGACGGGUGAGUAACACGUGGAUAACCUACCUAUAAGACUGGGAUAACUUCGGGAAACCGGAGCUAAUACCGGAUAAUAUAUUGAACCGCAUGGUUCAAUAGUGAAAGACGGUUUUGCUGUCACUUAUAGAUGGAUCCGCGCCGCAUUAGCUAGUUGGUAAGGUAACGGCUUACCAAGGCAACGAUGCGUAGCCGACCUGAGAGGGUGAUCGGCCACACUGGAGCUGAGACACGGUCCAGACUCCUACGGGAGGCAGCAGUAGGGAAUCUUCCGCAAUGGGCGAAAGCCUGACGGAGCAACGCCGCGUGAGUGAUGAAGGUCUUCGGAUCGUAAAACUCUGUUAUUAGGGAAGAACAAAUGUGUAAGUAACUAUGCACGUCUUGACGGUACCUAAUCAGAAAGCCGCGGCUAACUACGUG
rnacentral:rRNA from 1 species